GAUGAACGCUGGCGGCGUGCCUAAUACAUGCAAGUCGAGCGAACAGACGAGGAGCUUGCUCCUCUGACGUUAGCGGCGGACGGGUGAGUAACACGUGUAUAACCUACCUAUAAGACUGGGAUAACUUCGGGAAACCGGAGCUAAUACCGUAUAAUAUAUUGAACCGCAGGGUUCAAUAGUGAAAGACGGUGUUGCGGGCACUAAUAGAGGGAUCCGCGCCGCAUUAGCUUGUUGUUAAGGUAACGGCUUACCAAGGCAACGAUGCGUAGCCGACCGGAGUGGGUGGUCGGCCACCCUGGAGCUGAGCCGCGCUCCAGGCUCCUACGGGAGGCACCAGUAGGGAAUCUUACGCAAUGGGCGAAAGCCUGACGGAGCAACGCCGCGUGAGUGAUGACGGUCUUCGGAUCGUAAAACUCUGUUAUUAGGGAAGAACAAAUGUGUAAGUAACUAUGCACGUCUUGACGGUACCUAAUCAGAAAGCCACGGCUAACUACGUG
rnacentral:rRNA from 1 species